rnacentral:rRNA from 1 species
AAAACUUUCAACAACGGAUCUCUUGGCUCUGGCAUCGAUGAAGAACGCAGCGAAAUGCGAUAAGUAAUGUGAAUUGCAGAAUUCAGUGAAUCAUCGAAUCUUUGAACGCACAUUGCGCCCGCCAGCAUUCUGGCGGGCAUGCCUGUCCGAGCGUCAUUUCAACCCUCAGGGAACCCCUUCUGGGGGGGACCUGGUGUUGGGGUCCGGCCGCCCGCGCCGCCCCCGAAAUGCAGUGGCGACCUCGCCGCAGCCUCCCCUGCGUAGUAGCACAACCUCGCACCGGAGCGCGGAGACGGUCACGCCGUAAAACGCCCAACUUUCACGAGUUGACCUCGGAUCAGGUAGGAAUACCCGCUGAACUUAAGCAUAUCAAUAAGCGGAGGAAAAGAAACCAACAGGGAUUGCCCCAGUAACGGCGAGUGAAGCGGCAACAGCUCAAAUUUGAAAUCUGGCCCCCAGGGCCCGAGUUGUAAUUUGCAGAGGAUGCUUUUGGCGCGGUGCCUUCCGAGUUCCCUGGAACGGGACGCCAUAGAGGGUGAGAGCCCCGUCUGGUCGGACACCAAGCCAGUGUAAAGCUCCUUCGACGAGUCGAGUAGUUUGGGAAUGCUGCUCUAAAUGGGAGGUAUAUGUCUUCUAAAGCUAAAUACCGGCCAGAGACCGAUAGCGCACAAGUAGAGUGAUCGAAAGAUGAAAAGCACUUUGAAAAGAGGGUUAAACAGUACGUGAAAUUGUUGAAAGGGAAGCGUUUAUGACCAGACUUGGGCCCGGUGAAUCAUCCAGCGUUCUCGCUGGUGCACUUUGCCGGGCCCAGGCCAGCAUCAGUUCGCCGCGGGGGAUAAAAGCUUCGGGAACGUGGCUCCCUCGGGAGUGUUAUAGCCCGUUGCAUAAUACCCUGUGGCGGACUGAGGUUCGCGCUCCGCAAGGAUGCUGGCGUAAUGGUCAUCAGCGACCCGUCUUGAAACACGGACCAAGGAGUCGUCUUCGUAUGCGAGUGUUCGGGUGUCAAACCCCUACGCGUAAUGAAAGUGAACGCAGGUGAGAGCUUCGGCGCAUCAUCGACCGAUCCUGAUGUUCUCGGAUGGAUUUGAGUAAGAGCAUACGGGGCCGGACCCGAAAGAAGGUGAACUAUGCCUGUAUAGGGUGAAGCCAGAGGAAACUCUGGUGGAGGCUCGCAGCGGUUCUGACGUGCAAAUCGAUCGUCAAAUAUGGGCAUGGG